rnacentral:rRNA from 1 species
GUACCUUAAUGUAGUCCUCCAAUGGACCNGCAGGGACGAUUGGCGUUGCUAGCCCAGCAGUCCACAGUAUGGGUCAUACUGCUGAGCCGGUAGCGGGUNACCGCACUGCCGAUCAAUUGGCGGGGUUUUCCCCACUGACNUCUUCACCCAAACUCAAAAUCAAUUAACUAAAGCUAUUGCAAUCGGCUUUGCCGACUGCUAUUAACUGACAAACUCUCAACAACGGAUAUCUUGGCUCCCGGAACGAUUAAGAACGCAGCGAAAUGCGAUACGUAGUGUGAAUUGCAGAAUUCCGUGAACCAUCGAAUCUUUGAACGCAAAUUGCGCUCGAGGCNUCGGCCAAGAGCAUGUCUGUCUCAGCGUCGGCUAACCCCCCUCACUCCCUUCCCUUUGCUUUCAAAGGGGCNUGGGCAGUGGAUCUGGCCGUCCCGGUGAACAGCCGGGUCGACCGAAGCACAGAGGCUUGUGCUUGGACCCCUCAAAGGGCAACAACUUGGUAGGUGGCUUAACGCUGCAUACCGUUGGAGCCUUGGAGCCCAAGCCGUAUGGCCGGCAGGAAACCUCAAUCAUUCGACCUGAGAUCAGGCAAGAACACCCGCUGAACUUAAGCAUAUCA